AUUGGUUUGUAGGGAGCUCCC
rnacentral:miRNA from 1 species